UACAGAGGGUGCAAGCGUUAAUCGAAAUUACUGGGCGUAAAGGGUGCGUAGGUGGUUAAAUAAGUUAGAUGUGAAAGUCCUGGGCUUAACCUGGGGAUUGCGUCUGAUACUGUUGAGCUAGAGUUCUGUGGAGGAAUGUGGAAUUUCCGGAGUAGCGGUGAAAUGCGUAGAUAUCGGAAGGAACAUCGGUGGCGAAAGCGGCCUUCUGGACAGGAACUGACACUGAGGCACGAAAGCGUGGGGAGCAAACAGG
rnacentral:rRNA from 1 species